rnacentral:snoRNA from 1 species
GUGAUGACUUCGACCGCUCUGGAACGAUGACGAAGGUAUGCAGCGCUGA